rnacentral:rRNA from 1 species
AACGUAGGUACCGAGCGUUAUCCGGAUUUACUGGGCGUAAAGCGCGUUCAGGCGGUUUGGCAAGUCGGGCAUGAAAUCUCUCGGCUCAACCGGGAGAGGUUGUCCGAUACUUCCAGACUUGAGGGCAGUAGAGGGUGGUGGAAUUCCGGGUGUAGUGGUGAAAUGCGUAGAUAUCGUGAGGAACACCAGAGGCGAAGGCGGCUACCUGGACAAUUGCUGACGCUCAGGCACGAAAGCGUGGGGAGCAAAAGGG